rnacentral:rRNA from 1 species
UUUCAUAGUUUAACCCGCCUAUAUACCGCCGUCGCAAGCUUACCCUGUGAAGGUCUUAUAGUAAGCAAAAGUGAUUAAAAUCCAAGACGUCAGGUCGAGGUGUAGCGCAUGGAAAGGAAAGAAAUGGGCUACAUUCCCUAACUCAGGGAAUACGAAUAAUACACUGAAACGCGUAUUUGAAGGAGGAUUUAAUAGUAAGUAGAAAAUAGAGUGUCCUACUGAAACCGGCCCUGAAGCGCGCACACACCGCCCGUCACUCUCCCCAAACUCAAACUACUAAACUAAACCUUAAAACAUCACCCAUGAAAAGGGGAGGCAAGUCGUAACAUGGUAAGUGUACCGGAAGGUGCACUUGGAAUUACA